UACGUAGGUGGCAAGCGUUGUCCGGAUUUACUGGGCGUAAAGAGCGCGCAGGCGGUCGAUUUAGUCGCGUGUGAAAGCUCCCGGCUCAACUGGGGAGGGUCACGCGAUACUGAUCGACUCGAAGGCAGGAGAGGGUAGUGGAAUUCCCGGUGUAGUGGUGAAAUGCGUAGAUAUCGGGAGGAACACCAGUGGCGAAGGCGACUACCUGGCCUGUUCUUGACGCUGAGGCGCGAAAGCUAGGGGAGCAAACGGG
rnacentral:rRNA from 1 species